rnacentral:rRNA from 1 species
UAGGGAAUCUUCCGCAAUGGGCGAAAGCCUGACGGAGCAACGCCGCGUGAGUGAUGAAGGUCUUCGGAUCGUAAAACUCUGUUAUUAGGGAAGAACAAAUGUGUAAGUAACUAUGCACGUCUUGACGGUACCUAAUCAGAAAGCCACGGCUAACUACGUGCCAGCAGCCGCGGUAAUAGGUAGGUGGCAAGCGUUAUCCGGAAUUAUUGGGCGUAAAGCGCGCGUAGGCGGUUUUUUAAGUCUGAUGUGAAAGCCCACGGCUCAACCGUGGAGGGUCAUUGGAAACUGGAAAACUUGAGUGCAGAAGAGGAAAGUGGAAUUCCAUGUGUAGCGGUGAAAUGCGCAGAGAUAUGGAGGAACACCAGUGGCGAAGGCGACUUUCUGGUCUGUAACUGACGCUGAUGUGCGAAAGCGUGGGGAUCAAACAGG